GACGAACGCUGGCGGCGUGCCUAAUACAUGCAAGUCGAACGCAGUGGGGACGGGUUGGUAACACGUGGCUAACCUCCCAUCAGAGGGGAUAACACUUGGCAACAGGUGCUAAACCCAUACUGAUGGAUGUACCCGCGGUGCAUUAGCUAGUUGGUGGGGUAACGGCUCACCAAGGCGACGAUGAAUAUCCGACCUGAGAGGGGGAUCGGCCACACUGGGACUGAGACACGGCCCAGACUCCUACGGGAGGCAGCAGGGGGGAAUCUUCGGCAAUGGACGAAAGUCUGAUGGAGCCAGGCCGCGGGAGUGAAGAAGGUUUUAGGAUCGUAAAGUGCUGUUGGUAGAGAAGCGGUAACUAACCAGAAAGCCACGGCUAACUACGUGCCAGCCGCCGCGGUAAUUC
rnacentral:rRNA from 1 species